rnacentral:rRNA from 1 species
UACGUAGGCGGAAAAUUAAGUCAGUGGUGAAAUCCUGCAGCUUAACUGUAGAACUGUCAUUGAUACUGGUUUUCUUGAAUACAGUUGAGGUAGGCGGAAUGUGUAAUGUAGCGGUGAAAUGCUUAGAUAUUACACAGAACACCGAUUGCGAAGGCAGCUUACUAAACUGUUAUUGACGCUGAGGUACGAAAGCGUGGGGAGCGAACAGGAUUAGAUACCCUGGUAGUCC